UCCCGGUUAUACCGGGCAGUCUCGUAAGACAUACUAACUUACGACGAGGGUUGCGCUCGUUGCGGGACUUAACCCAACAUCUCACGACACGAGCUGACGACGGCCAUGCAGCACCUGUCACCAGGUUCCCGAAGGCACGUCUAGCUUUCGCUUGACUUCCUGGGAUGUCAAACCUCGGUAAGGUUUUUCGCUUAGCGUCGAAUUAAACCACAUCCUCCACUGCUUGUGCGGGUCCCCGUCAAUUCCUUUGAGUUUUAAGCUUGCGCCCGUACUCCCCAGGCGGAUCACUUAACGCGUUAGCUGUGCAACACAGAGGGUCGAAUCUCCAUACUGCUAGUGAUCAUCGUUUACGGCGUGGACUAC
rnacentral:misc_RNA from 1 species